AGGGCAAGAAGAAAAGCCUCAAGAAGUGCA
rnacentral:piRNA from 1 species